rnacentral:lncRNA from 1 species
CAUUAGCACCUACACCAGAGAGAGCAGCUAUUUCAGGAACAACUGACACCGCAAAGGAGCAUCAAAAGUCGUUAACAGUAUACCACUCCCUUCAUUUUACAAGUGGCACACAAAAACCAGUGUCUGUGUCUGCAGAUCAUCUGUCCUAGGAAAACUGGAAAAGUGGCUGCAGUGGCCUACUGAGUCACAGAGAAGAUGACCUUCUUUGGUGCAAGAAGAGCCCGUGAGCCGCUGUCCUGGCAGUGCUCCCCGGACUGCAGAAGUGUGGCCUGCAGCACCAUGAGCCGAUGUCCCCAGCCUUGGCGCUUCCUUGCUGCUCCUAAAUGUCCUUACCGGGACACUGCACCCUCACCUACGCCCUUGUGCUCCCUGGACUUGUCAGCGGCACCUGGUGCCUCUGGAGCUCCUUUUGGAAACCACUGAAGGUGGGUGAUGCUGCACUCAGGUUGACAGUGCCAAAAUUGGACCUGGACAGCUUUAUACCUGUUUGACUUUUGUAUUUGGUCUUUCUUUUAAAAAGGAGAGGAAGGUCAUUUUGAAUUUGAUUUAUUGAAC